ACGGAAGGAUUCAAGGAGAAGGACGUUCUCGGAUCUGGCGGGUUUGGGAGCGUUUACAAAGGUGUCAUGCCCAAUACAAAGAAAGAGAUCGCCGUGAAAAGAGUGUCGAACGAAUCCAAACAAGGGUUGAAAGAGUUUGUGUCUGAGAUCGUGACUAUUGGUCGGAUGAGUCACCGGAACUUAGUCCCUCUUUUAGGUUAUUGCCGUCGGGAAAAGGAGCUUCUUCUAGUGUACGACUACAUGCCCAAUGGAAGCUUAGACAAGUAUUUGCAUAAUAGUCCAGAGGUAACCCUCGACUGGAAACAAAGAAUUA
rnacentral:lncRNA from 1 species